GGUGAGAGUGGCGAACGGGUGAGUAACACGUAGGUAAUCUACCUUUGGGUGGGGGAUAGCCCAUGGAAACAUGGGGUAAUACCGCAUAAUGCCGUAAGGUUAAAGGAGCAAUUGUUCCGCCUGAGGAUGAGCCUGCGGUCCAUUAGCUAGUUGGUGAGGUAAGAGCUCUACCAAGGCGACGAUGGAUAGCCGGCCUGAGAGGGUGAACGGCCACACUGGGACUGAGACACGGCCCAG
rnacentral:rRNA from 1 species